GUGGUGGCUCAGUGGUAGAGCACUUGCUUAGCAUGUGUGAGGCCCUGGGUUCGAUUCUCAGCACCACA
rnacentral:tRNA from 1 species